rnacentral:rRNA from 1 species
UUACCAGGGUUUGACAUGCAAGUGGUAGGAAACCGAAAGGUGACCGACUCCUCGGAGAGCUUGCACAGGUGCUGCAUGGCUGUCGUCAGCUCGUGUCGUGAGAUGUUCGGUUAAGUCCGCUAACGAGCGCAACCCUCGCUGUGUGUUACAAGUGUCACACGGUACUGCCGGUCUUGAGCCGGAGGAAGGUGGGGAUGACGUCAAGUCAGCAUGGCCUUUAUAUCCUGGGCUACACACACGCUACAAUGGCCAACGCAAUAGGUUGCUAAGCCGCGAGGUGGAGCCAAUCCUCAAAGUUGGUCUCAGUUCAGAUUGUAGGCUGCAACUCGCCUGCAUGAAGAUGGAGUUGCUAGUAAUCGCAGGUCAGCUAUACUGCGGUGAAUACGUUCCCGGGGCUUGUACACACCGCCCGUCACGUCAUGGAAGUUGGCAACACCUGAAGCCGGUAUCCUAACCGCAAGGAGGGAGCCGUCGAAGGUGGGGUCGAUAACUGGGACGAAGUCGUAACAAGGUAGCC